UACAGAGGUCUCAAGCGUUGUUCGGAUUCAUUGGGCGUAAAGGGUGCGUAGGUGGCGCCAUAAGUCAGGUGUGAAAUCUCGGGGCUCAACCCCGAAACUGCAUUUGAUACUGUGGUGCUUGAGGACUGGAGAGGAGACUGGAAUUCACGGUGUAGCAGUGAAAUGCGUAGAUAUCGUGAGGAAGACCAGUGGCGAAGGCGGGUCUCUGGACAGUUCCUGACACUGAGGCACGAAGGCCAGGGGAGCAAACGGG
rnacentral:rRNA from 1 species